GGAGGCGAUAAGGGUCUGGUGGCCCUCACGGUCUUCAAAACCGCUGGUUCGCCAACAGCGAACGGUGGGUUCGAUUCCCAUCCGCCUCCGCCA
rnacentral:tRNA from 1 species